rnacentral:rRNA from 1 species
GACGAACGCUGGCGGCGUGCUUAACACAUGCAAGUCGAGCGGUAAGGCCUUUCGGGGUACACGAGCGGCGAACGGGUGAGUAACACGUGGGCGACCUGCCCUCCACUCUGGGAUAAGCCCGGGCAACUGGGUCUAAUACCGGAUAUGACCUCUCAUCGCAUGGUGGGUGGUGGAAAGUUGUUCGGUGGGGGAUGGGCCCGCGGCCUAUCAGCUUGUUGGUGGGGUGAUGGCCUACCAAGGCGACGACGGGUAGCCGGCCUGAGAGGGCGACCGGGCACACUGGGACUGAGACACGGCCCAGACUCCUACGGGAGGCAGCAGUGGGGAAUAUUGCGCAAUGGGCGGAAGCCUGACGCAGCGACGCCGCGUGGGGGAUGACGGCCUUCGGGUUGUAAACCUCUUUCGCCAGGGACGAAGCGUGAGUGACGGUACCUGGAUAAGAAGCACCGGCCAACUACGUGCCAGCCGCCGCAGUAA